rnacentral:lncRNA from 1 species
GGCCUUGUUAGAAAGUUAAAUUCAUGUAAAACUGCUGUUUUAGGGGUCGCUUUUCAUCGCCUGGUUCCUUUUUGUGUGGCUUUGUCGGUUUUUUGACUGUGACUUGUUCUUCAUUUUAUGGGACUGACUUGUGACUUUGCUUUUGUGACUGUGGCUUGUGUCUUCAUGUUUGUGACUUGUUCUUGUGACUGUGUGGAACCCAGUUCAGCUACUGGUGGAUUGUGUGACUUCAGAAAUGGAUAAAAGCCCCCCAUCCAAACUGACAAUCAUCAGUGCACGUAAGAAAAGAAAUAAAUGUUAUUUUUUUUCAUCUAAAAUACUGUCUUAUUUAUUUUAUAGUGCAGUACAUUGAUUAUUGCCUUCAUUUUAUGGAUCAAUGGUUUUGUUAAACAGUAAAAUUUGUGUUAAAUUGCUGUUUUAGGGAGUGUUUUUCAUCGUCUGGAAUGGAUCAAUCCACUUUCCAUUACUUUCCGUGGGAAGGUCUGCUUCAGGUUAAGAACGCUUCAGGUUAAGAACGGACUUCCAGAACCAAUUAAGUACUUAACCUGAGAUACCACUGUGUAUUCCUCCGGCCUCAUGAGGAGCCUCUUCAGUGGGGCUGGUGAGUGUGGGCCUCACCCCCUAGGCCAGAUUGAAAGGGCCUUGGAAGGAGCGGCCUUCAUGCCCCACAGUCAGGCAAUGUUCCUCCGGACUCCUGAGGAGCCUGAAUUCCAGCACAGCUGAGAAUUGGCAAGUGGGCCAAAGUUCAACUCGUAAGCAGGACCUAGGUGCAAGAGAACCCUGCCCUUCUGUGGUUUUCAGUAACUGGUAUUCGAAGACAUACUUCCAAUAAGAGUGGAAGAACCUAGUCAUUGUGGCUGGUGCCAAAAUGAUUAGCUGUGCUGCUGGGCUAGUGUGGACGGGAACAUUUGGGAUAGAUUUUGGAGGCAUAAAACUGAAAAAAGCUUGUGUGUGUCUGAAGAUGCAGAAACAGUGUCUCCACACACACAUGAACACUCUAAUGUGGACACAGCCUACAUGUCUCUUCAGCAAACAUGGGCUCCCAGUUUUGUCCCUGUUGAAUGCUAUGAACGGGGAUAUGAGCUGGGGCCCCAGCAUUUCCAGAGGGCAAGUGGUAAGUGAGAGGAUGGAAUUUACUUCUUCUUCCACCUACUACUAUCUUACUGUAGUCCAGCCACUUCACAGUGACUUUUCUUCCAGCUGAGUCAAGUGGCUGGGAAGAAGCUCUUCUAUGGGGCAAUACCCCCUGCUGGAGCUGGGGCAAGGAGUGGCCCUAAGUGUAUGGACUAUAACACCUUACUUACCACUCCUUCCUUGGAGGGAUGGUUUCUGUUUGAUCAUGAAGUCCCUGAUAGUUUUCAUUGCUAUAUCCAUAUCAGGUGAUUUGUGAUCCCGUUUAUGAAUAUCUAUGGAAGAGUUAGAAGGGAAAGAAAUGGUGAGUCGGCUGAUGCGACAGUACCUCCACCCCAGAAUUGCUGCGGCUGAUUUGGAAUCAAGGCUCCCCGUGUGUUAGCAAUUUUUUAAAGCUCUUCCCAUCUCAAAGGAAAAGUGUUUAAUGAAGCAUCAGGCAGCAGACUGGGCAACAUUCCAGUAAUAAAACUGCAUUAAAAUGAAACAUGUAAAUCACCCUGUGAAGGGUGGUUGAUAAACUGAAGACCUCUUUUGUUUGAAUUCAGCUGUUCUGACCACUCAGUGAAGCAGACCAUACACUUGUUUUUCUAGGAGGAAAUGGAACAGGGAGUUGCAAGGUAGGACAGGUGACUGCACAGGUUGCUUCAUAAUGUUGGCCUAAGAAGUCCGAAAGCAGUUAUUGAGGGGCAAGAAACAGGCAUUCAUUUCAAUGGGUGAGAUUUAGCCACAUCCUUACCUUACGCACUGGAAUCAAUGGGAGGUGAAAGGGCUUAGCUGUGGUUGGAUUAUGGUGACACUUUUGAAAGUAUUCUUCAUACUGAUAUAAAGCCAACCAGGAUAAUGCUAAAGGCUUACACAGCCUAGACUUACACAGACUAACUGCUCCAAAUGCAGCAAAAAACAGGACCAGGCACAGCAUCACUACAAUAAAUGUACCAAUGGAAGAGAGAAAGAACUCUUUUAUCUCAUGCAAAACAGCAGCAAGUUUUCCUUGAUGGACAAAAAGAAAGAAAAUCUGCUUAAGUACCAUGGCUAACUUUUUUGCUUUUUCAUUUCAAGUGACAGUAAUGGAUCCAGAGGGAGUCUAACCCCAUCCAGAUCCAGAGGGAGUCUAACCCCAUCCAGAACAGGCCAUAUCCCACCCAUCUUGUCUAGGGAACCACCCACUGACUGCACCUCAGUCUUGUCUGGAUUAAACUUAAAUUUAAAGGUUUGUUCCCUCACCUGGGCAAGGAGCAGUGGUAGAGAGGUAAAUCCUUACCACAUUGUGGAUCAGCGGAGAACACAGUCUGAAGCUGGCAUAGCACUAGUUUGCUUGGCUAAAUGAGCCUGUUGGAGUGACAGAGCACGGCUGGCUUUUCUCCAGCCCUCUCCACUACGACUGGUCACACAUGCCUCCUGUUGCUCUCCCACUUUUCCUUUCCAGUGUGUUCCUCGUCUAGGCUAUGAACCAGUUCUAUGUGUGCUGCAUACAUACCUUUUCUGGGAGGUGGUUUUCGUCUGCGUUUUAGUAUUGACCUGGAUGCCACAUUAGAUCUGGAAGAGACAUUGGAUCUAGAAGCCACAUUGGAUCUGGAAGCCACAUUGGAUUUGGAAGCUGCAUUGGAUCUGGAAGCCACACUGGUUCUUGAAGCUGCAUUGUGGUGUUGGGUCACAUAGUAUGUAAUUUACUUGAACAUCAGCGAAAACUUGCAAAAAAGCCUUUGUGUGAUAGCAGCUAAAUCCCAGUAGGGUAGAUCCCUGAAAAACUUGUAGCUCAGGAGCAAAAUCGUAGGCAGUGAUGAUCCUGCAGGAAUUCAGUUUUCAGCUCUACUCUGCCAGAUAAAUCUCAUUUCUUUUUUUUUAAUGGAGUAACAAGUUUGGUGGAACAGGGGAAUGAUGUGAACAUAGUGUAUCUUGAUUUCAGUAAGGCUUUUGACAAAGUUCCCCAUGUUAUUCUUGUGAGAAAACUGGUAAAGUGUGGGUUGAAUGAGGUAACUGUUAGGUGGAUUUGUAGCCGGUUGACUGACUGAACCGAAAUAGUGCUCACUAAUGGUUCCCUGAUUCAGGUAGGAAGCUGUGUUGGUCUGACACAGUCAAAAUAAAAAAUUAAAAAAUAGUCCAGUAGCACCUUAGAGGCCAACUAAGUUUGCUCUGGGUAUAAGAUUUCAUGUGCAUGCACACUUCUUCAGAUACACUGAAGGAGAAGUCACCAGACCCUUAUAUACAGUGGGAGGGUGGGGUGGGGUUUUUCUCAGAAGGGUAGUGGGAGAUGGGUGAUUGACUUAAUGGGUAUGGAAAAACUGUUGAUGACUGUUAACGACUGCAAUUAGUUCUACAGGAAAAAGCAAGGGAUAGUAUGCAGAUAUAUAAGGGUCUGGUGACUUCUGCUUCAGUGUAUCGAAGAAGUGUGUAUGCACACAAAAGCUUAUAUCCAGUACAAACUUAGUUGGUCUCUAAGGUGCUACAGGACUAUUUUUUAAUGGUUCCUUGUCAUCCUGGGGAAAAGUGAAAAGUGCGGUGCCACAGGGUUCUGUCCUGGGCCCGUUGUUCAACAAUUUUAUAAACGACUUGGAUGAAGGAAUUGAGGAGAUGCUCAUCAAAUUGGCAGAUGACACCAAACUGGGAGGGGUAGCUAAUGCCAUGGGAUUUACAGAAAUGGGAUUUACAUAGGUUUUGCCGUUUCUUGAAAUAUUGUUGCCAAACUUGGCACAAAUGUUCCCAGGGUGGGGGAGGUGGUCCUCAUCACCAUUUAGAUACCAGGUUCCAUUUUUCUGCCACUUGAGAUAUCAUACCCAAACUCUGCAGAAAGAAAGGCUCAAGGUCUCCCUCCCAAGAUGUAGGUAUGGGUACAGGAACUCUGCCUUCCUGUAUGGCACUGAAGAGGAAAUAGUAAAAACAACUUACGUUCUGUGAAUGUCAGGCCUCCCGCCAUUUUAACUGCUCAUUUGGAUUGGUGCCUUAUGUCAUCCUGCGUUCAGAACCAUAUAAAGGAGCAGACAGUUAGCACAACUUCUAUGAAAGAAUUUCGUGGUCAAAAACCAAAUCAGAGUAGCAGUCUGCAGAAGCUCACCUCUUUUUGUUGACAGGACCUUAUUCUUAGCUGCCAUCUUAUCUCCUUAUUUUCAGUGGUGUCUCAUCCUGGAGUUCUUCUAAGUGACCAUUUAAUGGAUUAGGCUGUUAAAAUGAUAUCUUAAAACAAACCUACUGUUUAAAGAUUCGAUGCGGGUGGCGCUGUGGGUUAAACCACAGAGCCUAGGGCUUGCCGAUCAGAGGGUCGGCGGUUCGAAUCCCCGCGAUGGGAUGAGCCCUGUUGUUUGGUCCCUGCUUAUGCCAACCUAGCAGUUUGAAAGCACGUCAAAGUGCAAGUAGAUAAAUGGUGGGAAGGUAAACGGCAUUUCCAUGUGCUGCUCUGGUUUGCCAGAAGCAGCUUAGUCAUGCUGGCCACAUGACCCGGAAGCUGUACGCCGGCUCCCUCGGCCAAUAAAGCGAGAUGAGCACUGCAACCCCAGAGUCAUCCGUGACUGGACCUAAUGAUCAGGGGUCCCUUUACCUUUACCUUUACUGUUUAAAGAGCAGUCAUAUCAAGCUCUUCAUUAUACAAGGAAGUAGACAUGAAAAGCUCUCUGGCAUCCUGUCCCCACUUCAUUUAUAGACAUGGAAUCUCCUAUUCCCUGAAAAUACAGUGGGAGAGAAGCAGACUGCUUUUCUCCCACUGUAAUAGGGCAGUUGGGGCCUUCUGAAUUCUAGCUUAAUGACAUACUUCAUGCAAACGGAUCCUGUUCAAUCCACAGCAUUUCCCACCAGAAGGAUCUCCAGCAGGAAGCCUUAGAAAGACCUCCAUUUUCCAGAGAUCCUGGGCUAAAGAGCACAUGGGGCAAGAUAACCAAUGGCCUUAGAAAAAGGCAGCUGACUAGAAACGACUUAUCCCCUUUCCCCUUUUGGAUACCAUGGUGCCUCCCGGAGUCCUUUUUCUUCUCUCUGCCUCAGCUUCUUCCUGCAGAUGUUCCUUCCUUCAACGGCUCCAACCACCUUCCGCUUUGAUGCAGAACAUUCCAGAGUUCCCAUUCAGCUUCUGCUCCUCCCUGAUUGGGACUGGCAGGCAGCCAAUCAGCAUUCCACAUAUAGCAGAAGUCCAGGAAAAUAUCUAGUUUAGUUAUUGCUUACUCCACUUCCAUAGUACUCUCAUGCACAAAAGUGACUUUCAUGAGUAUCUUUGGAAUGCUGCAAAGGACAGGCAUGUUCUGUCCUCUUUAACCCAGGGCUUAAUGACUUCUGGAGAACUUCUUCAAUUAAGUGGGUGAGCGCCCCCACGCCUCAAAUUGUUGUAUUUUUCUUCUUCUGAGACUAAAUUUGGAACAUGGACUGUUAUCUCACAGUUUCCCGCUUAACCCUAGGCAUUAAAUAUUUAUUCAGGUCCAGCAGAGUUCCACCCACCAUGUCAACUACAGGCAAGCAAUUGAAAUUUAAAAGUCUAAUUUAAUGGACAAAAAUAACUCUUAAGGACAGGAUAACACUAUGAGACUAAUCCAGGAUUUCAAAGAAAUUAAGCAAAGAAGGUGUAAUUAGAAAAAGGAGUGAAAUUGCUUGGCCUAUGUUUGGAUCUUGUUUAUCUUGUUUAGAGAUAGGAUGCCAGGUGCACCGGGUUGCCUAGCAACAGUACACCACCAAAAGUCAGGCUUGCUGACUUAUGCACCCUCACUUUAGAGCUGAACUGAGUGGGACAGAGGUUUUUCUUAAUCAGGAACUCUAGAUAAAGAUGACUACUGGAAAGCAGGAAAACUCUGAUGUUCAGCUGGAAGACCACUGGAGCUGUGGAGCUAUGGAUUCUCUGUUGACCCCACUGGUCGAAGUGUGUUGAAGUACUAACUGAUAGUGGGCCCAUGCUUGACAGGUUAUGAGCCAACUGACGUUUGCAAGUCGUAAUAUGGAACAAGACAAAGGAAACUGGUCAAAUGGUCAAAGGCCUGGAAACGAUGCCUUAUGAGGAACGGCUAAGGGAGCUGGGCAUGUUUAGCCUGGAGAAGAGGAGGUUAAGGGGUGAUAUGAUAGCCAUGUUCAAAUAUAUAAAAGGAUGUCAUAUAGAGGAGGGAGAAAGGUUGUUUUCUGCUGCUCCAGAGAAGCGGACACGGAGCAAUGGAUCUAAACUACAAGAAAGAAGAUUCCACCUAAACAUUAGGAAGAACUUCCUGACAGUAAGAGCUGUUUGACAGUGGAAUUUGCUGCCAAGGAGUGUGGUGGAGUCUCCUUCUUUGGAGGUCUUUAAGCAGAGGCUUGACAACCAUAUGUCAGGAGUGCUCUGAUGGUGUUUCCUGCUUGGCAGGGGGUUGGACUCGAUGGCCCUUGUGGUCUAUACCAACUCUAUGAUUCUAUGAUUCUAUGAAACUGACACACUCACAGGAAGACCAAUACUCUCAGAAAUAAAGAGGAGAGAGACGCCACUGCUCUGACUGCAGGCAGGAUUGGUCUGGGGGAAGUGAAAUGGCUCCUCCACCUAGAGAGGCCACGAAGACCCUUCCUGUUCCCAAUAGGGGGAGUAAUCCCUAAAGACAGGAGUGUUGUGUCCCCCCCCCCCAAUCUGGUAAAAUGUUCCCCUCUAGGAGGUAUACUUAAUCAAUCUUCCUCCACUUGGUGCCCUCCAACGCAACCUGUUGGUUAGGGCUGAUGGCACCUAGAAGGCACCGGGUUGGGGAAGCCUGUAUUGGAUUAAUUAUUGCAACAGAACGUAGGCUACGACUGAGUCCUCCUUGCUUUAUUUUCCAGGAUUUUCCAUUAUCUGAGGUUGCAAAAUCAGGU